UCUCUGUUCGUAUAGUGGACAGUAUCUCCGCCGCUCACGCGGAAGACCGGGGUUCGAUUCCCGACGGGGAG